rnacentral:rRNA from 1 species
GAUCAUGGCUCAGGACGAACGCUGGCGGCGCGCCUAACACAUGCAAGUCGAACGAGCGAGAGAGAGCUUGCUUUCUCGAGCGAGUGGCGAACGGGUGAGUAACGCGUGAGGAACCUGCCUCGAAGAGGGGGACAACAGUUGGAAACGACUGCUAAUACCGCAUAAGCCCACAGGUCGGCAUCGACCAGGGGGAAAAGGAGCAAUCCGCUUUGAGAUGGCCUCGCGUCCGAUUAG